GCAGUCGUGGCCGAGUGGUUAAGGCUUAUGGACUGGAAAUCCAUUGGGGUCUCCCCGCACAGGUUCGAUUUCUGUCGAUUGCG
rnacentral:tRNA from 2 species